UUCCAGACUCCUACGGGAGGCAGCAGUGGGGGAUAUUGGACAAUGGGGGGAACCCUGAUCCAGCGACGCCGCGUGAGUGAAGAAGUAUUUCGGUAUGUAAAGCUCUGUCAGCAGGGAAGAAAGAAAUGACGGUACCUGACCAAGAAGCCCCGGCUAACUACGUGCCAGCAGCCGCGGUAAUACGUAGGGGGCAAGCGUUAUCCGGAAUUACUGGGUGUAAAGGGAGCGUAGACGGUUAAGUAAGUCUGGAGUGAAAGGCCGGGGCCCAACCCCGGGACUGCUCUGGAAACUAUUGAACUUGAGUGCAGGAGAGGUAAGCGGAAUUCCUAGUGUAGCGGUGAAAUGCGUAGAUAUUAGGAGGAACACCAGUGGCGAAGGCGGCCUGCUGGGCUUUAACUGACGCUGAGGCUCGAAAGCGUGGGGAGCAAACAGGAUUAGAUACCCGAGUA
rnacentral:rRNA from 1 species